rnacentral:rRNA from 1 species
CGGGGGGGGCAAGCGUUGUUCGGAAUUACUGGGCGUAAAGGGCGCGUAGGCGGCCUGCUAAGUCGGACGUGAAAUCCCUCGGCUCAACCGGGGAACUGCGUCCGAUACUGGUGGGCUCGAAUCCGGGAGAGGGAUGUGGAAUUCCAGGUGUAGCGGUGAAAUGCGUAGAUAUCUGGAGGAACACCGGUGGCGAAGGCGGCAUCCUGGACCGGUAUUGACGCUGAUGCGCGAAAGCCAGGGGAGCAAACGGGAUUAGAUACCCCGGUAGUCCUGGCCCUAAACGAUGAGUGCUUGGUGUGGCGGGUAUCGAUCCCUGCCGUGCCGAAGCUAACGCAUUAAGCACUCCGCCUGGGGAGUACGGUCGCAAGGUUA